UGUUUCGUGGUUGACCCGCAGUUUCGCGGACGAAACUCCUUUUUAGGAGGGGAGAAUGUAACACACUGGACUUUUGCAAAUUGCGAGGUUCGAGUGUUUGAACUGUGUUAUGAGUUUUUCCAGACUUUCUGGUGGGUCGUUGACCGUGUUCCGACCUAUGGCUCGCAUCCCGAGAAUUGUAGUAUUUUAUGUAGCGCUAAGGUCACUAAAGAGUUGGACUUAGCCUACCCUCGGAUUGCAUUCUGCACAUGGUGAAACCGGUGACAUGUUGAUGGUUGUACCGGGACACAUUUUGUACCGGUACACUUU
rnacentral:lncRNA from 1 species